rnacentral:rRNA from 1 species
UACGGGGGGGGGCAAGCGUUGUUCGGAAUUACUGGGCGUAAAGGGCUCGUAGGUGGCCAACUAAGUCGGACGUGAAAUCCCUCAGCUUAACUGGGGAACUGCGUCCGAUACUGGAUGGCUCGAGUUUGGGAGAGGGAUGCGGAAUUCCAGGUGUAGCGGUGAAAUGCGUAGAUAUCUGGAGGAACACCGGUGGCGAAGGCAGUUCUCUGGGCCGGAACUGACGCUGAGGAGCGAAAGCGUGGGUAGCAAACAGG